UACGUAGGGCGCGAGCGUUGUCCGGAAUUAUUGGGCGUAAAGGGCUCGUAGGCGGUUUGUCGCGUCGGGAGUGAAAUCCACUGGCUUAACUGGUGGCUUGCUUUCGAUACGGGCAGACUGGAGGUAUGCAGGGGAGAACGGAAUUCCUGGUGUAGCGGUGAAAUGCGCAGAUAUCAGGAGGAACACCGGUGGCGAAGGCGGUUCUCUGGGCAUGUCCUGACGCUGAGGAGCGAAAGUGUGGGGAGCGAACAGG
rnacentral:rRNA from 1 species